rnacentral:rRNA from 1 species
AUUGAACGCUGGCGGCAGGCCUAACACAUGCAAGUCGAGCGAGCGGCGGACUGGUGAGUAAUGUAUGGGCGUCUGCCCGAUCUAGGGGGUUAAGUACUGGAAACGGUGGCUAAUACCGCAUACUAUCGGAUGUCCCCAUUUGUGAGUAGCUCGUCGGUAAGGUAACUGCUUACCUAGGCGACGGUCCCUCGCUGGUCUGAGAGGUAGACCAUCCACACGGGGACUGAGACACGGCCCAGACUCCUACGGGAGGAAGCAGUGGGAAAUAUUGCACAAUGGGCGAAACCCUGAUGCAGCCAGUCCGCGGGUAGGAAGAAGGCCUUGGGGUUGUAAAGUACGUUCAGUAGGGAGGCGUUACCUACAGAAGAAGCACCGGCUAACUCCGUGCCAGCAGCCGCGGUAAUUC